rnacentral:misc_RNA from 1 species
GUGAAUCAUCAAAUCUUUGAACGCAAAUUGCACUCCCUGGUAUUCCGGGGAGUAUGCCUGUUUGAGGGUCGUUAGAACAAAAAUCGAAGCGUCGCUCUUUUUUUUAAGGGUGACCGCGUCGGAAUUGAGCCGUCUUUCCAAUGUUAAUUCAUGUAAAAUUGCCUUAAAAUUCAUCCAUCCGAUACGUUUAAAGCGUAUUUAAGAUCAAUUUUGAUUAAUAACGCUCGAUGAACGUCCCAUCUCAUGUAGUACGUUUGUCCU